rnacentral:tRNA from 1 species
GCCUUCGUGGUGUAGUGGUCAGCACGCUCGAUGCGUAACCGAGAGGUCCGUGGUUCGAUUCCGGGCGAAGGAG